UACAGAGGUCCCAAGCGUUGUUCGGAUUCACUGGGCGUAAAGGGUGCGUAGGUGGCUUUGCAAGUCUGAUGUGAAAUCUCCGGGCUUAACCCGGAAAUGGCAUUAGAAACUGUGAGGCUUGAGGCUUGGAGGGGGAACUGGAAUUCUCGGUGUAGCAGUGAAAUGCGUAGAGAUCGAGAGGAACACCAGUGGCGAAGGCGAGUUCCUGGACAGGUCCUGACACUGAGGCACGAAAGCCGGGGGAGCAAACAGG
rnacentral:rRNA from 1 species